rnacentral:misc_RNA from 1 species
AGUAUCUACUAGAGUCCUCAUAGUAUACCUAUUUAACAAAAUAUUGACCACCAAGGGAACAGAAUGGGGACGUUUUACCUACUCGUAAUCCUUUGUGCCAAAGUGAUAGGAUCCGAACAUGAAGUUUCUUUUUCCACUGAAAGGACCUUUAAUCUUUCACUGCUAUCUAUCGGUCUCUUUCCUCGAUACUUGCAAUCAUCUGGUCCACCCGCAAUAACAUUAAUAAUGCCAAUAGGUUCUUCUUCAGAAGCCUUGCCUGACUCCUUAUUUGUUGAGCCCUCAUCUCGUCUACUUCGUAAGUGAUCAUCUCUAGCAAAUUUUGUGAAGCUGCCAUCUCUAACCAACUGCUCGACCUCGUCCUUGAGCUGCCUACACUUGUCAGUGGUAUGACCAUGAUCAUCAUGAAAGUGACAAUAUUAAAAUCGAUAUCUCCUUUCAAGACUCUCAGGCUUGAGCCUGUGUGGCCAUUUAAUAUCUUGACCAGUUUUCUGGAUUCACGAGUACCUUUGAUCUAGACUCAUUGAGAGGUGUGUAAGUGCAGUAAUCCUUCUUUCCAUGUUUAGAAUCACGAUCCCGAUUAUAAGAUCGCCUGUCACUACCAUAGCUCCUCUUCUCAUACCUCGUCGUUAUUAUGUGAAAAUCACCUCUUUUUCCUCAAAGCCAUUCGCUUGUCAUCAAGCCUGAUAUAUUUCUGAGCUCAUUCCAUUAACUGCUGGUAAUCCCAUGCUGGAUUUUUAAUCAAGGAAUCAACAAACUUCACAUUUCGAUCUCUUUUUUGAUCGCCUCACACACUGUUUCAUGAUUGAGAUUUUCGACUUGGAUGGCCUCAGUGUUAAACUUGGAAAUAUAAUCUCGAAGGAAUUCUGCGUCCAUCUGUCGAAUCUUCUUAAGGUCGG